AGUGAACGCUGGCGGUCGGCCUAACACAUGCAAGUCGAACGAGUGGCGGACGGGUGAGGCAUACAUCGGACUCUACUCUGUCGUGGGGGAUAACGUAGGGAAACUUACGCUAAUACCGCAUACGCUUGCAUGUGCCUCUGUGGGAUUAGCUAGUUGGCGGGGUAAAGGCCCACCAAGGGGACUAUCCGUAGCGGGUCUGAGAGGAUGAUCAGCAAAACUGGAACUGAGACAAGGUCCAGACUCCUACGGGAGGCAGCAGUGGGGAAUAUUGGACAAUGGGCGCAAGCCUGAUCCAGCCAUACCGCGUGGGUGAAGAAGGCCUUCGGGUUGUAAAGCCCUUUUGUUGGGAAAGCGGUACCCAAAGAAUAAGCACCGGCGAACUUCGUGCCAGCAGCCGCGGUAAUUC
rnacentral:rRNA from 1 species